UACAGAGGGUGCGAGCGUUAAUCGGAAUUACUGGGCGUAAAGCGUGCGCAGGCGGUUUGUUAAGACAGAUGUGAAAUCCCCGGGCUUAACCUGGGAACUGCAUUUGUGACUGGCAAGCUAGAGUAUGGCAGAGGGGGGUAGAAUUCCACGUGUAGCAGUGAAAUGCGUAGAGAUGUGGAGGAAUACCGAUGGCGAAGGCAGCCCCCUGGGCCAAUACUGACGCUCAUGCACGAAAGCGUGGGGAGCAAACAGG
rnacentral:rRNA from 1 species